rnacentral:sRNA from 1 species
GCUGGGCACGGUGGUGCGUGUCUGCAAUCCCAGCAGCUCAGGAGGUUGAGGAAGGAGGAUGGCAAGUUCAAGGCUGGCCUUGGCAACUUGGUGAGACCCCAUCUCAU